AGUGAACGCUGGCGGUAGGCCUAUUACAUGCAAGUCGAACGGCAGCACAGUAAGAGCUUGCUCUUACGGGUGGCGAGUGGCGGACGGGUGAGGAAUACAUCGGAAUCUACUUUUUCGUGGGGGAUAACGUAGGGAAACUUACGCUAAUACCGCAUACGACCUACGGGUGAAAGCAGGGGAUCUUCGGACCUUGCGCGAUUGAAUGAGCCGAUGUCGGAUUAGCUAGUUGGCGGGGUAAAGGCCCACCAAGGCGACGAUCCGUAGCUGGUCUGAGAGGAUGAUCAGCCACACUGGAACUGAGACACGGUCCAGACUCCUACGGGAGGCAGCAGUGGGGAAUAUUGGACAAUGGGCGCAAGCCUGAUCCAGCCAUACCGCGUGGGUGAAGAAGGCCUUCGGGUUGUAAAGCCCUUUUGUUGGGAAAGAAAAGCAGCAGGUUAAUACCCCGCUGUUCUGACGGUACCCAAAGAAUAAGCACCGGCUAACUUCGUG
rnacentral:rRNA from 1 species